rnacentral:rRNA from 1 species
CGCUCUUUGUGAAAACAAAAUAAAGAGUCGGACCUGCCCAGUGACAUACGUGUUAAACGGCCGCGGUACUCUGACCGUGCAAAGGUAGCAUAAUCACUUGCCUUUUAAUUGAAGGCUUGUAUGAAUGGUUUAACGAGAACUAAGCUGUCUCCUUUUAAAUAUUUAGAAGUUAACUUGUAGGUGAAGAGGCUUACAUGUGUUUGAGGGACAAGAAGACCCUUUUGAGUUUUAGUAAAAUCGAAAAGUAGAUUCUAUUUUAAUUUGGGUUAAGAUAAAUAGCUGUGUAAUAACAUAAGCUGAUUUUUUGGCUAAUCUUUAGUUGGGGCGACUGAGGAAUAUAUUAAGCUUCCUUUAAAGUAUAUUAUGAUUAACUAAUUAAGUUUGAUCCAGUGUUUGCUGAUUAAAGGAAAAAAUUACCAUAGGGAUAACAGCGUAAUCUUUUUGGAGAGUUCUUAUCGAAAAAAGGGUUUGCGACCUCGAUGUUGGACUAAGAUAUCCUGGGGGUGUAGAAGCUCCUAAAGGUUGGUCUGUUCGACCAUUAAAAUCUU